GAAAACGAAGCCCCCUCCUGUAUUGACAGCUGGGAAUUGUGGAGUCCACCGUCCUCCACCUGAGACGAGCACAGGGUCUCCACGAGGACAGAGGCUGCUUUGGACUCAAUAGAAAACUGGGCAUCUUCAUGGUCCUAGAAGGAUCCCAGGAGGCUGAUCCUAUAGAGACGUCUGGUUCCUGACCCCAACUGCCUCCAGGUGCCUGGAACAGCCCAUCGUGGGCCCUUUACCCUCAGCAGGUGGACGCCGUUGGUCCUGCCAGGGCAAGAUGGAGAUGGAUGAGCACCCGGAUAUCCUGCCCACCCAGGGGCAAGGCAACAUCAUCAUUACUAAGUAUGAGCAGGGACGCUGAGCUGGGGCAGCAGUGGACACAGAGCAUGAGCGUGUUGACAUCUGGAAAUUCACCAGUCGUCUCUGGGUUGUGUGUGAGACAGAGCUGCCCGUGUCAGUGCCCUGGAGGUGAAGGGAAGAGCCUGUGCCUGCUGCGUGGGAGACUGGUCCAGGGACAGGGAAUCAGGAGUGGUUGGGCCCCAAAGCCCAGGACCCAGCAUCCAUGGGCCGCUGCCGGAGGCCUGGCAGCUCCGCUAACUCCAUCAUGGCUCAUUUGACAGCAAAGGUGUCAGGAAAUAAAAUGUACUGACAAGUGGCUGAAGAUGCUUGGAGACUGGCCAAAAUAUAAGAACAGCAAGAAGGUGACAUGGCGGUUGGGCCUGGUAGCUCAGGCCUGUAACCCCAGCACUUCGGGAGGCUGAGGUGGGCGGAUCACCUGAGGUCAGGAGUUCGAGACCAUCCUGGCCAACAUGGCGAAACCCCGUCUCUACUAAACAUGCAAAAAUUAGCUGGGCACGGUGGCGGGCACCUGUAAUCCCAGCUACUCAGGAGGCUGAGGCACGAGAAUUGCUUGAACCCAGGCAGUGGAGGUUGCAGUGAGCCAAGAUCGCACCACUGAACUCCAGCCUGGGCGACAAGAGGGAGACUUCAUCUCAAAAGGAAAAGAAGCUGUCUCGAAGCAGGUACAAAGGCAUUCCCCUGGUGUGAGGCCAGGCGUGGGCACUUCUGCUAGACAUUGACAAAGUCAAGUCCCAGAACCCAGGAAAUACAAGGAGGUGGGCUACCACAGGGACCUGAGCCGCAACACUGCCGUCCUCCUUUAUCUGCCGGAGGAAGAUGCUUUCUGGGUGGCUGGCUCAGCUGCUGGCCGGUGAGAGGCACUCCCUGCAGGCCCAAAUACUGCCCAGCUCCGGAAGCUCCUAUCACAUCAGGAGCAGGUGCUGCACAAGUCCUUCCCAAAGAUCAUGAGACAGCUGGGCAAGGAAGGGCUAUGCAUUGAGGGUUCCAUGCUGACGAGGCUCCUCCAGUGUUUCCUUGAUGGGCCACCUCACUGCUGAGAUGAGUCCCCCAUGAGGAGCUGCAGGACCUUGUCUGACCGCAGCCUCAUGGAGGGGUCUCAUCCCAUGGAAAGGGGUCCUCAGCACUCCAGAGGACUGAAACCCCAAUGGGUCCUGCUCAGGCCACCAGCCCCAGCCUGGAAAGGCCAGGUCCUCCCACACCUGCUGUCCCCAAAGAAAUCCUUCGGGCUCACCCUGCGACUGUGGGAUGUGCUUAUCUUGGAGGGCGAGCAGGUACUGACAGCCAUGGCGCAUGCAUCAUUCAAAAUACACAGGGAGCACCUCAUGAAGCUUUCCUGGAGCACCGUCUGGGAGUUUCAGGAGCGACUCUCUCAGAGCUGGGCCCUGGAGGACAACUCGGUCCUCAGGAACCUUCAAACCUCUAUGAAGGAACUCACAAAAAAACACUGGGACCUGCCAUCCCCAGGAGAACUCGAGAGAGGGUCCUCGAGGGUGUCUCCUGGCAUUAGGCCCCUCUGUGAGGGGGACAGAUUGGCCCUGCCCAGCCCACCAGCUCAGCUCCAGGGGCUCAUGCCAUCAGCCCCCCAGGACAAAAGCCUUGUCCUCCCCCAGCCUGGCCUGACAGGGUUGUCUCCAUGGCGGAGGCCAAGGCCCAGCAGCACGAAGGGGCUUCCCCAGAACCCAGGGCAGCAGGCUGCUCUCUGGGUGGCCCAGAGGAUCAAGAUGUGGCCACCCUGUUUCCCGGUGAGGUCAGGCCUCGUAUUACAUAAAAAUACCUGUGCUGGGACUCUAUGCCACACCUCCACACAGACCUGGAUGCUGGGAUCCAUGGUUUCCUUACUACAAUUUUGAACAGGGCUACUGGGCCCCUGUCACUUCAACAUGUUACCUGGACAGCCCUGCAACCACACGACGGGCCUGGCCCAGCAAGCCCACUGGGACCCCGACACCAGGCCCUGCCCAGGCUUAUGACAGAGGAGGCAGGUCAGGAGACACCCCAGCAACAAGGCAGCACCUGCCUGCGAUGCCCCUCAGUAGAAGAACGUGGCAUGGAAGGAGCCCAGGUGGCACACGCCCAGCUGCGUCGCAGCCCCAGAUGGCUGCUGGACCUUGGUUCUGGGCCUUGGAAAAUCCCAUUCAGCGGGGCUUGGUCCCAUCAAGGCCUCUGGAGGGAAGGCUAAGCAUAGGGUUCCUGCAGCCCCAGCCAGCCAGCCAGCCAGCAGCAUGCCCUGGGGCCUCUGACCCCACCUGUGAGUCCCAGGCCCAGAGGUCCCUGGCUUCAACUCGAGUCCUAGGAAGAGAGAGGCACCAGAGGCACCACAGGCUCCCAGGGUGACCACAGAGGGGACCAGGGCACUGUGAGCCCUGAUGCUGUAAGGAUUCACAUCAGAGAACCUGGGCAAGACGGGAGACCGUGCAGUAAUGAGGAUGUGGAGGGCUGGCUCAAUGCGGCCAACAGCUGUGAACACUGCUGCCUCUUCCCAGCCUCAUCACUGCAGUGCAGGCAGUCUGAUCUCUGGAGCCCAGCCCAAAAGUGUCCUGAGUGCCCCGGCUUCACAUGCCAAUAUGCCACCUGGAGGCUUCAAGGCCCUGCCUGCUGCACGCCCGCCUCACCAUUGCUGAGCACCCCAUCUGAUGAUGAGAGACUUGCUGUGGAUUCCUGGGCCGGCACCAUUUCCCAGGAGGACCAGCGGGCUGCCUGUGGGCAGGCCGCCCACACUGUGGAGGGGGCUGAGAUCAGCCUUCACUGUAGGAAGCCCCUACCUGGACACAGACUUGCCGGCUCUACCUAUCGCCAUCAUGGCAGCCUACAUGGCAUUACUUGUGACCAGGGUGCCCCAUCCAGGUCGGUCUGCCCUGGCUGCUGUUUUCCCUCCUGCCACCCUCUCUUUGACUGCUUGUGUCAAUAAAAGGAGAACUGGCCAGUUUUCAGAAUAAAGUGUAGCUUUAUUAUGACAUAGGAGAGAUUACAAAGCAUUAGGGGAGGAGGAGGAGGAGCAGUGACACAGCUGCUCAUAAUGAGAGGGGAAAGGAAAGGGUAAACAUCUUGGUAAAUAAAGUCUCCAACCACA